GGGCCGGUCUGGAGGCUUUGGCCUCAGCAUCUCGCUCAAGCUCUGGCCUGGGCAGUGAGGGCGCGGCCCGGCACCAGGGAGGCAGAAGCCAAGGCGGAUACGCUCCUCUACCCGCUGGAAGCGCGUGCUCCUGCAGCACAGCCACCUCCCCGCUCUCGGAGCUCAGGCGCCCUUGAGCCGAGGCCUGGAACGGGGCAGGAGCUGCAGUGGAUCCCGCCAGGUGAAGGGUGAGUUUCUAGAGGGGCAUGGAGGGGGCAGGGACAUCAGGGAAGCCAGUCAACAGCCGGUGUGAGUCCCUGAGCUGAGGGCCAUCUUCCCGGCAAGGACAAGGCCCGGGGUCUCCCGGUCUCAGCGGGGCCGCCUUGCAGACAAUACCCACUCUUCUCAGUUGAAACCUUCAAAAUUACAGCUUCUGGAAGUUCCCGUCGUGGCGCAGUGGUUAACGAAUCCGACUAGGAACCAUGAGGUUGCAGGUUUGGUCCCUGGCCUUGCUCAGUGGGUUAACGAUCCGGCGUUGCCGUGAGCUGUGGUGUAGGUUGCAGACGCGGCUCGGAUCCCGCGUUGCUGUGGCUCUGGCGUAGGCCGGUGGCUACAGCUCCGAUUAGACCCCUAGCCUGGGAACCUCCAUAUGCCGCGGGAGCGGCCCAAGAAAUAGCAAAAAGACAAAAAAAAAAAACACUACAGCUUCCUGCCAGACCCCCUCAACCUUCCAUAGAGCCCCCCAGCAGGCCCCGCAGAGAAGGGGAUUCUGUCUCAAGGUCGUUUGCUCCCUCAUCCAUAGGAUCAACUUAAACCACGUCCCAUAUGGCUCCUGGGGACUCCAGCUGCCUCUGCCUCCUGCAAGUGGCGCUGGGUGACCUCAGGCCCAGCCCCACCCACCCCGGGCUGCAAACCCAGAGGCCACUGUGCUGCCAAGGGCAAGGACCUCCCCUGUGCUCUCUGGGGAGGAGACAUCCAGUGGCUACCCUCAGCUGCAACUUGGUGUCUGUGGGACCACAUGAUGAUGGAAUCUGCAAGCAGAACUUAGCCCAAGGCCUCUGCUCCAGGUCGCCUGGGGCAGUUGCAAGCAACCCUCUAAACCGACCCAAGGGCUCAGGCGAGAUGUGGCCCUGCCACAUGCUCCUUGAGACCUUCACGUCAGAAGAGCCUUCAGCAGCCCUGGCCACUGACCACCCCCCAGACCGAUGCCGCUGGGCCAUAAACCCCAACGGGCCCCCCAGCUGGCAAACAGCAGCCUGGGAAGGAGAGUCCCAACUUCCCCCGGGGUCCCAGCUGGGUCGGAUCCAAGCGCCACACCUGCACACCACAGCGGGCCCUUCCCACAGGCCCUCAAAGGUUCUGAGACUGAGAAGAGGCAGCAGCAUCAAGCCCUGGGAAGAGGCUGCAAAGCUGUCCCCACUCUUACUGUCUGCUGGCUGUGGUCACCAGCCGGGAAGAGGCCACCCAUGCCCUUGA
rnacentral:lncRNA from 1 species